AUACGGGGGGUGCAAGCAUUAAUCGGAUUCAUUGGGCGUAUAGGGCGCGUAGGCGGACAUGAAAGUCAGGUGUGAAAUUUCGGGGCUCAACCCCGAAGCUGCACUUGAAACUUCAUAUCUUGAGGGUAGGCGGAGAAAGUGGAAUUCCACAUGUAGCGGUGAAAUGCGUAGAUAUGUGGAAGAACACCUGUGGCGAAAGCGACUUUCUAGCUUAUUCCUGACGCUGAGGCGCGAAAGCGAGGGGAGCAAACAGGAUUAGAAACCCCGGUAGUCC
rnacentral:rRNA from 1 species